rnacentral:rRNA from 1 species
AACAGGAUUAGAUACCCUGGUAGUCCACGCCGUAAACGAUGUCGACUUGGAGGUUGUGCCCUUGAGGCGUGGCUUCCGGAGCUAACGCGUUAAGUCGACCGCCUGGGGAGUACGGCCGCAAGGUUAAAACUCAAAUGAAUUGACGGGGGCCCGCACAAGCGGUGGAGCAUGUGGUUUAAUUCGAUGCAACGCGAAGAACCUUACCUACUCUUGACAUCCAGAGAACUUUCCAGAGAUGGAUUGGUGCCUUCGGGAACUCUGAGACAGGUGCUGCAUGGCUGUCGUCAGCUCGUGUUGUGGAAUGUUGGGUUAAGUCCCGCAACGAGCGCAACCCUUAUCCUUUGUUGCCAGCGGUCCGGCCGGGAACUCAAAGGAGACUGCCAGUGAUAAACUGGAGGAAGGUGGGGAUGACGUCAAGUCACCAUGGCCCUUGCGAGUAGGGCUACACACGUGCUACAGUGGCGCAUACAAAGAGAAGCGUCCUCGCGAGAGCAAGCGGACCUCAUAAAGUGCGUCGUAGUCCGGAUUGGAGUCUGCAACUCGACUCCAUGAAGUCGGAAUCGCUAGUAAUCGUGGAUCAGAAUGCCACGGUGAAUACGUUCCCGGGCCUUGUACACACCGCCCGUCACACCAUGGGAGUGGGUUGCAAAAGAAGUAGGUAGCUUAACCUUCGGGAGGGCGCUUACCACUUUGUGAUUCAUGACUGGGGUGAAGUCGUAACAAGGUAACC